AGCUCCAAUAGCGUAUAUUAAAGUUGUUGCGGUUAAAAAGCUCGUAGUUGGAUCUUCGGUCCAGGAGAGUGGUCCCCCAGUGGGUGUGUACUACUUGUUCCUGACCUAAUUUUUCUGGUUGGCUCUUGUUGCUCUUAACUGAGUGGCUUGAGUGGCUAGAACUUUUACUUUGAAAAAAUUAGAGUGCUUAAAGCAGACGAUAGUCUGAAUAGUGGUGCAUGGAAUAAUGGAAUAGGACCUCGGUUCUAUUUUGUUGGUUUAAGAUCUCGAGGUAAUGAUUAGUAGGGACAGACGGGGGCAUUCGUAUUGCGACGUUAGAGGUGAAAUUCUUGGAUCGUCGCAAGACGGACUACUGCGAAAGCAUUUGCCAAGAAUGUUUUCA
rnacentral:rRNA from 1 species